rnacentral:lncRNA from 1 species
AUGCCAGUGGGCAACAGAGCUGAAAGCAAUGUCAUAAAUCAUGAUUCGAAAAUAAUCCCUUCAAUAUUAGUGUGACUUUGUCGAUUCUAUCAUGAAACUAUGAAUAGAAAGAUGAAUACAAGUGGCUAAGUGUUCAUUAACAGUUUCACCAAACUUUUGAAUAUUUUCAGCUUUAUAGCAAAAUGAUGAGGCAGUAAAUGCCCUCAUGUGUUCUAUGUGUCUGGGAAGCAAUUUUCCCAAAUAAUAACUAAAAUUGACCCAUCGAGUCUGUGUUCCACUCCAUCAUCAUCCUUCACCUCUUGCCUUCUCUGCCCUUCCCAUCCUGUAACCACACGACCUCCUGUUGUUUCCUCUCUUUGUGUUUCUUUCAGCUGUGACUCUCUCUAAAUGGUCUUGUUUUUUCAAAACCUUGACAGUUGUGAGUGGAAGUGAUGUCUAUUUUACAGAGCAUCGCUCUGCAGGGUGGGGUUUGUCAAGACUUCUCCUGUUUAUAUGAGUGGGGAUUUUUUUUUUGUUUUUGUUUGUUUGUUUUUAGUUUCUGAAAGGAAUAAUGUUAUUCUGUUCUUUCUAUCAUAAAUAUUUGUUUUUAUUUUAUGUGAUUGAGUGCUUUGUCUGCAUGUAUGUAUGUGACCACAUGUGUGCAGCACUUGAGGCCAGAAGAGUCCUCUGGAAUUGGAGCAACAGAUGGUCUUAAGCCUCCAUAUGGGUUCUGGGUACUGAAUCAGGGUCUUCGGUUCUCUUAACUGUUGAGCCACCUGUCCAGCCCCGAAUAGCCAACCUUAUUACAUGAUAUCUACUUGCCACUAGGGUAAGUACUCUUGCUUUGGGCUCCUCCUUCCUAUUGCUGUUGCUGUUCGCCCUGUCACCUGAUUUAAGCAUUGCCUGUUGGGUACAGCCUCUGCUGCCAAGUGAUCCACAUGCAAAGGUGUCUUAGAGGGAACUAGACCCUGCAUUUACAUUGAGCAAGAAAAACAACCAACCCCACCCCCCAUAAAAACAACUCUGGCCAAUUUCUUAGCAUGAAUACUAGGCUCCAUUAAAGGAUUACUAAUAAAUACUAUAAAGAAAAUGCAAUGGAUUAAGAAGUGAAAUAAGUCCGAAGCAGUGUUAGCUUGGCUAUCUACCUAAUAAAAGUGCAACUGUUCUCUCUUCCCUGAAGCACCCUGCAUACUUAUCUAGUUCCUGCACACAUGCUGGAUUUGAAGAUUUUAGCAAGAGGUUAUUUAUUACUCGUGUUUAAUGCCUUCCUAUAUACCAUCCCCUGAGCAAUGUAUACAAUGCUGAAGUAUAGAAAAUUUGAUGUUGUUCCUCAAGCUUUAACCCGUUUGUCAUAGUGUUUCUUGUGUGUGUUUUUAAAGAGUUUGCAAAAUACUAAAAAAAAGUAUUUUAAUGAAUUUGAUUCUGUGAAAUACAUCAUUUUGAACAUGUAUAAUUUCUUACUUUCAUGCUCAUUCUAUUUAGUGAUCUAUUUCCAUAUUUUGUAUUCUAUCAAUAUAUUUAUUAGUGGACCACAAAAAGGUUCCGAGUACAUGAAUAUAAGAGUAGCCCUGCUUGGCUAUUUUAUAAUACCAAAAUACCUGUGGGUACUCAUAGUUGAAUAGAUACUCCAGAUUCUUUUCCUUGCAGCUCAAGUUUGUCUGGGUUUUUCUUCCAUUGAACAGAUUUCAUCAUUUCCCUAUGUACAAUAGUAGACUUCCUGAAAGUGCUACAGUUUUUACCAUGUAAUAGACUUGAGCAUGACAAUACUGUAAGAAAAUACAGAAGUCUCUAAAUAUGUCUGAGUUUUCAAAGGAAAUCAAAUAAUAGGUGUUUUCAUUUGACUAUAUUGUGGCAUUUAUGGGUAUUACUGUAAAAUGCAUAUGCAUUACCUGAUUUUCUUAACAUGUUUUGAACUAAUAAAGAAUUCUCCCAUGU